rfam:Cephalotus follicularis DNA, scaffold: scaffold3009, isolate: St1.
AAACCAUGAUGAGGACACUCUAAGGGGAGGUCUUUGAAACGUUCCAUACAUCUAGAGAAUGAUUCAUUUGGUCUUUGGCGAAACUGAAAAAUGUCGUUCCUAAUCUU